UUGAGACAAGUACAUACUGCAUUAGGUAAAAGCCCCCUUUUAUAGAAAAACUGGGUUGUGCUUUCCUGGCUGGGGCUGAUGGUGAGUGUGGUUGUCAUUCUCCUUGACCGUGGCCCAGAGUUCCUCCUGCUUGAGAACGUGGUGCACCACUUCAAGUACCCCUGCGUGUUGGACCUGAAGAUGGGCACGCGGCAGCAUGGCGAUGACGCAUCAGCUGAGAAGGCAGCCCGGCAGAUGCGGAAAUGCGAGCAGAGCACAUCAGCCACGCUGGGCGUCAGGGUCUGCGGCAUGCAGGUGUACCAGCUGGACACAGGGCAUUACCUCUGCAGGAACAAGUACUAUGGCCGUGGGCUCUCCAUUGAAGGCUUCCGCAAUGCCCUCUAUCAAUAUCUGCACAAUGGCCUGGACCUGCGACGUGACCUGUUUGAGCCUAUCCUGAGCAAACUGCGGGGCCUGAAAGCUGUGCUGGAGCGGCAGGCCUCUUACCGCUUCUACUCCAGUUCCCUGCUUGUCAUCUAUGAUGGCAAGGAGUGCCGGGCUG
rnacentral:sRNA from 1 species